AUUCCUACGGGAGGCAGCAGUGAGGAAUAUUGGUCAAUGGGCGCGAGCCUGAACCAGCCAAGUAGCGUGAAGGAUGACUGCCCUACGGGUUGUAAACUUCUUUUAUAAAGGAAUAAAGUGAGGCACGUGUGCCUUUUUGUAUGUACUUUAUGAAUAAGGAUCGGCUAACUCCGUGCCAGCAGCCGCGGUAAUACGGAGGAUACGAGCGUUAUCCGGAUUUAUUGGGUUUAAAGGGAGCGUAGAUGGGCUGUUAAGUCAGUUGUGAAAGGUUGCGGGUCAACGGUGAAAUUGCAUUUGA
rnacentral:rRNA from 1 species